rnacentral:tRNA from 1 species
GGCCCGGUGUCCGAGCGGCUUAGGUGCACCCCCUGCAAAGGUUGCUACACCAGUUCAACUCUGGUCCGGGCCU